rnacentral:misc_RNA from 1 species
AAGUCGUAACAAGGUUUCCGUAGGUGAACCUGCGGAAGGAUCAUUAACAAAUCUUUGAGCGAAAGCUCACUAACCUUUGUGAAUAGGCUUGCGCAAGCAAGUUAGAUGGGUCGAGGGGGCGAAGAGUGACUAAAGCAAUUUAGCGUCUCAUAGCCACAAAUAUUAAUAUUGUCUGAUUACAUUUGGAAGUCGCAAGAUUUCUAAUAAUAAUACAACUUUUAACAAUGGAUCUCUUGGCUCUU